GAGUGUUUGUUGUGGGGGAGGAAGGGAAGGGAAAGGAGAAUGGAUUUGAUAUCCUGCUUUAUCACUACCCUAAGGAGUCUCAAAGCAGCCAACAUUCUCCUUUCCCUUCCUCCCCCACAACAAACACUCU